UACGGAGGAGGCAAGCGUUAUCCGGAAUUAUUGGGCGUAAAGCGUGCGCAGGCGGCUUCGCAAGUCAGACGUGAAAUCCCCGGGCUUAACCUGGGAAUGGCGUUUGAAACUACGGAGCUGGAGUGUGGCAGAGGGAGGUAGAAUUCCACGUGUAGCGGUGAAAUGCGUAGAUAUGUGGAGGAAUACCGAUGGCGAAGGCAGCCUCCUGGGCCAACACUGACGCUCAUGCACGAAAGCGUGGGGAGCAAACAGG
rnacentral:rRNA from 1 species